AGAGUUUGAUCCUGGCUCAGGAUAAACGCUGGCGGUGUGCUUUAUGCAUGCAAGUCGAACGAACUAUUUUCGGAUAGUUAGUGGCAAACGGGUGAGUAACACGUAAGUAACCUGUCCUUAAGUGGGGGAUAACUCUGAGAAAUUGGAGCUAAUACCGCGUGUGAUAAUGGAGCUGGUGCUGCAUUAUUAAAGCCUUCGGGCGCUUGAGGAGGGGCUUGCGCACGAUUAGCUAGUUGGUGAGGUAAUGGCCUACCAAGGCGACGAUCGUUAGCUGGUUUGAGAGGAUGACCAGCCACACUGGAACUGAGACACGGUCCAGACUCCUACGGGAGGCAGCAGCAAGGAAUAUUGGGCAAUGGGCGAAAGCCUGACCCAGCGACACCGCGUGGGGGAUGAAGGUCUUCGGGUUGUAAACCCCUUUUCCCGGGGAAGAAUAAUGACGGUACCCGGGGAAUAAGCCUCGGCUAACUACGUGCCAGCAGCCGCGGUAAUACGUAGGAGGCGAGCGUUAUCCGGAUUUACUGGGCGUAAAGAGGGCGUAGGCGGCCUUUCAAGUCGGAUGUAAAAUCUCCCGGCUUAACUGGGAGGGACCAUUCGAUACUGUUGGGCUAGAGUGCAGCAGAGGGAGUUGGAACUCCCGGUGUAGUGGUGAAAUGCGUAGAUAUCGGGAAGAACACCAGUGGCGAAGGCGGCCUCCUGGGCUGUAACUGACGCUGAGGCCCGAAGGCGUGGGUAGCAAACAGGAUUAGAAUACCUGGUAGUCCACGCAGUAAACGAUGGAUACUAGGUAUAGGGAGUAUCGACCCUCUCUGUGCCGAAGCUAACGCUUUUAAGUAUCCCGCCUGGGGACUACGGUCGCAAGAAUAAAACUCAAAGGAAUUGACGGGGGCCCGCACAAGCAGCGGAGCGUGUGGUUUAAUUCGAUGCAACGCGAAGAACCUCACCAGGGCUUGACAUGUUGGAAGUAGAAACCCGAAAGGGGGACGACCUGUUGAGUCAGGAGCCUACACAGGUGCUGCAUGGCUGUCGUCAGCUCGUGCCGUGAGGUGUCGGGUUAAGUCCCAUAACGAGCGCAACCCCUGUCGUCAGUUAAUUUCUCUGGCGAUACAGCCCGGCGAAACCGGGAGGAAGGCGGGGAUGAUGUCAAGUCAGCAUGGCCCUUAUGCCCUGGGCUACACACACGCUACAAUGGGUGGUACAAUGGGUUGCAAUGGAGCGAUCCGGAGCUAAUCCUUAAAAACCAUCCUCAGUUCGGAUUGCAGGCUGAAAUUCGCCUGCAUGAAGUAGGAGUUGCUAGUAACCGUAAAUCAGCACGUUACGGUGAAUACGUUCUCGGGCCUUGUACACACCGCCCGUCACGUCAUGAAAGUCGGCAACGCCUGAAGUCGAUGGGCUAACUUCAUUUAUGAAGAAGCAGUCGCCUAGGGUGGGGUCGGUGAUUGGGACGAAGUCGUAACAAGGUAACC
rnacentral:rRNA from 1 species